ensembl:lncRNA
AGGAGAACAAUCAGCCCAUUGCCUCAGUCCGGCGUGAUCAUCAUAAUCAUCAUCAUACUUCGUGAAGCGCGUGAGCUGCAGUAAACAGUGGGGUGGGGCGAGUGUACGCUUGGCUCGUGCGUAACGGUGCACGAUACGCCCUGAACACCUACAUGAGGCGAACAGGGCGCGCGCAGAGGACUGAUUGAACGUACUUUUCAGGGACUCGUCACGAGAACCUCAUCCGGUUUCCGACUGUGAGAAGGGAAAAGAGUUGCAUUUCCAGUUAGUGAGUCGAGAGAUGGAGUUCUGCAACUUUUAAGGAGCUCGCCGCGCGCGAGUGUAAGAGAGAGACAGAGCGCGCGAGUGUAGAAGAGACAGAGCGCGCGCUCGCGACAGGAGACAGGUUAAGCUCGGCGAUGCCUUCUCUGCAUCAUGGCGCCGUGUUCAUUGGGGUCUUCCUCAUCGUCACAGGCGGCUCGACCGCCUUCUUGACGUCCAGCCAGAGCAGACUGCAGGCGUUCAGCCUGUGCUGCGUGGUGCUAGGUGCAGUCAUGCUCAUCCUUGGCCUCUUUUGGGCCAUGAACGGAAAGAGCCGCCAGGGCUCCUACACUAAUGAAUACACGCACGACUACGGGCACGUGCUGUUCAGCCCACCACCCGGGAGCCACUUCCCGGAGUCCCAGUCCGUCAUCUUGCACAGAACGUUGGAAAGGCAGAGACGAGGGCUGUACGGAGACGAUUUUGACUACCCUCCCAUGGAGCCAACAUGUUUCAGCCCAGCUGCUCGAGGGCCACCACCCCACUGGGAGAUGGAACCUCCACCUCCGUACGAAGUGGCCAUCAAAACGACAUGCAGCUCCACGAACAUGCGACGCAGUUACUCAGAUACACUGUUGCCCACUGAACCGCUCUUCAGUCGCUCCCGCGAGAUCAGCUUUGAAGUGUAAAGGUGCAUUCACACAUACAGAGACUCGCAGCGACAAGGCGACCGGAGAUGUUCAUUUUCAACGAGAGCUGGCGACAUGAGCAACGGCGACCUUUGGCGACCGGGUGUAGGCGUGUCCAGCAACAUGGCAAAGUUGAGAAAGGUUUAACUUUAUGCAACUUUGGAGAGACUUGGUGUAGCGACUGCCAAUGGGAGUGAAGACAGUAGAGUGCAUGUGAUCUGUAGCCACCCUUGCGUACCAGCAGAAGCAACGCCAUUGUGACAGUAGCCAAUUAGCUUAGUUUAAGAUCUUAGCGGGUUUAAAGCAAAAAAAUAAAAGAAAUAAUAAUGAAACACUCACUUUUUGUUGCAAACGAGCAAAAUCCCAGUGUAGCUCCUACCUUGGGUGAAGUAUCCGGUUUGUCGCUGCUUCGGCACCGGGAACGAGCAGCACCAAGCCGGACACUUCACCCAGGAAACACAGAGGCCACGGCCGAAGAGCUGCUGUCCGGCUCCCGGUCACCAUCGAACAUAUAGUGAAUAACACACCGAUGGUGACGCUCACUUACUGAGAAAGGAGCUACACCGGGAUUUUGCUCAAUUGCAACAAAAAGGGAGUGUGUUUCAUUAUUAUUAUUAUUAUUUUGCUUUAAAUGCGCUAAGGCUAUAAGCUAAGCUAAGCUAAUUGGAGCUUGCACUUUUGCCGCAGAGAGAUGGCAGCAAUGGCAAAGAGCACACACUGCUUCUUCUUCAUCUCGGAUGCAUAUAUACCCUGGUGAAUUUUAUAUAAGAUCGCUCUCCCUCCACAAUGUUUAAUUUUAGCAGCAACAAAACUGGUUUGUUGUCAAAAUUGGAAUGCUAGUUGCACCACCCACUGAUGCUACUACUGCAACCGGUAGUAGGAAUGCCUACCUGCGACUUCAUAGUACAGUGACUUGCAGCGAUAAAAUUGCUGUAUGUGUGAAUGCACCUUAAGGCUUGUGCUGUCAACAAGCCAUUAGGUUGCACCCAUUUGCUGCAACCACCAACUAGUGCGGAUCAUGGCUUGCCCAGGGAACCCACACUCCAAGUGUGCUUUAUAAACCAUUAGUAUUGAAGCUACUUAAUUUUCAUCUCUGAUCACAAUGAGUUCCAUUUUGAAUAUGGUCAAAAGGGAAAUUCUGUAACCUUAUAAAAUGGUAACGUCCCUAGGACUGUUUAGUGUCUGCUGUUCCCUGCUGUGAAGUGUGUUCUUUUGUAAUUAUAUUCAGAAGGUAUAGUUACCACUGAUGGAAAAACGCCUGAUCUCGCUCAGUAUUUUCACGACAGCCACUGUCCUUUCUCCAUGCAGCUACUGCAUUUUCUCUCCAUACAUGUCACUGACAUUACACAAAUUACCAACUAUAUACUACAAAAAUGUUCUUCUACCCAGUUACGUAUUCCUCACAAGCAUGAAUCACAAUCACUUCUUGACUGGUUUGGCGUGCAGAUGAGAUUUGGUGACAGUACUGUCUGCUUGUGAAUAUCACAAAAAUCGCAGCUCCUGGACCCAUAAAUAUGUACAUAAAGUCACUUGCACAAUCCGAGCUCAUCGAUGCAAGCACCAGCGUAUGAGAAGAAAACAGAGAAAAGUUCCGGAUAGAUAUGCAAAGCUACUAUUUUCUCCUGCGCACAGUGUUUUGAGAGGGAAAAAUCGGUGUCGGCGUCUUCCACAGUAAGCCAGACACGGAUGCAGACGGAGUUAUAGGAAGUGACACCAGAUUAAAACUAUUUCUCGACCAAAAGCACAUCGACUGUGGCAAUAGUGAAAUUUAACUGCUGAAAUAUUUUAAUCAAUGUACUCCUGCUUGUUGCAUUGGACUGACUGCUAACAUGAGUGGCAAGACCCAUAACGAUGUCAUCAGGGCGCUUACAAAGAACUGACAGGAUGUGUCUUACAGGAAACACUUAAAUGCAACAGCAACCCAGAGCAUUAUUGGUUCAUCACUGGUGACCUUUGUGUCCCGUAGAGGAAACUGACAGUCUAAGAAGCAUUGAUUUGUGAUGUAAUGCAAGUGUAGAGUGCCUCUCUGAUGUGAUCGCAAAUGACCACAUUGCAUUAGCAGGUUUAAUAUUUCCUUGGACUCCUCUUGUUUGUAACAUUAUAAAUCAUGGCAUUUUCAUUGAUUGCUUUCUCUGCCUCAACCAAAGUGACAUUAAAAUUAUGUGCCUCCAUUAAAUACAGUUCAGGGCCUUUAACUAUAGGUACUUUGCACUAUACGUUAUAGAAUAUGCACGAUGUACGUGGCUUACGUGCAUGUACCCAAAGAUUCUAUUACAUUUUUGGAACAAAAUGUAUAGUGUUUUCAUUUGUUUUUGAAAAUUAACAAAUAAAGAUAUUUAAAA